AAAUAUAUUAAUUUCCCUUAAUAUAUAAUAUAAAUACAAGGAGUUCAUGUAUAAGAUUGAAGGCUUUAUGCAUCAGUGGUUAAAUUCAAAUCAAAAAAAUAUAACAAUAUAUGUUCCACAAAUACUCCCCAUGCUUUACUCAAAUGUUUAAGGCUGUGUGUUUGGAUCAAGGAUUUAGUGAGAAAAAAAAAAAAAUUAGGAAAUCCAAGGGCACGAACAUCUGGAUCGUCUAACUUUUUCAAUUUUUUUUCUCACCAAAUCCUUGAUCCAAAUACAACCCAAGUGUUGAGUAUUUUAUAAAUUUAGAAUAAUUCAUCCAAAAUAGAAGAUCAAUGUGAAUUCAAAAGCCAAUGCACAUACCUGUGUUUCAUAUCCCCUCUGCAAGUUAGACACCAGAUUCACGAAAUAGCGCAGACCAAAGGACUUACCGAAUUCGGUUUAUACCCCGUGAAGACCCAAGUAUGCCUUCCCAGUAGUAAGAUAAACAAGCUCUCUUUUUUUUUUUUUUUUUCCUCAUUCUACGUGAAUGUGCAAAAGAAUUUCUAUACACACUGAAUUCACAAACGAUGAACGAUGACAAACGAUCUUUAUCCACAAUGACCACCAUCACAUACUAGUGUCCCCACACAACAUAAUUCAGUAAAUUAAUUUGACAAAGAAGUACGAGUACAAUUAUAAAAU
rnacentral:lncRNA from 1 species